rnacentral:rRNA from 1 species
ACGAUGAAGCUUCUAGCUUGCUAGAAGUGGAUUAGUGGCGCACGGGUGAGUAAGGUAUAGUUAAUCUGCCCUACACAAGAGGACAACAGUUGGAAACGACUGCUAAUACUCUAUACUCCUGCUUAACACAAGUUGAGUAGGGAAAGUUUUUCGGUGUAGGAUGAGACUAUAUAGUAUCAGCUAGUUGGUAAGGUAAUGGCUUACCAAGGCUAUGACGCUUAACUGGUCUGAGAGGAUGAUCAGUCACACUGGAACUGAGACACGGUCCAGACUCCUACGGGAGGCAGCAGUAGGGAAUAUUGCGCAAUGGGGGAAACCCUGACGCAGCAACGCCGCGUGGAGGAUGACACUUUUCGGAGCGUAAACUCCUUUUCUUAGGGAAGAAUUCUGACGGUACCUAAGGAAUAAGCACCGGCUAACUCCGUGCCAGCAGCCGCGGUAAUACGGAGGGUGCAAGCGUUACUCGGAAUCACUGGGCGUAAAGGGCGCGUAGGCGGAUUAUCAAGUCUCUUGUGAAAUCUAAUGGCUUAACCAUUAAACUGCUUGGGAAACUGAUAGUCUAGAGUGGGGGA